rnacentral:rRNA from 1 species
GACGAACGCUGGCGGCGUGCCUAAUACAUGCAAGUAGAACGCAGUUGCGAACGGGUGAGUAACGCGUAGGUAACUGCCUCAUAGCGGGGGAUAACUAUUGGAAACGAUAGCUAAUACCGCAUACUGUGCGAUGGCACUGCGUUGUAUUAGCUAGUUGGUGAGGUAAAGGCGCACCAAGGCGACGAUACAUAGCCGACCUGAGAGGGUGAUCCGCCACACGGGGACUGGUACACGGCCCAGACUCCUACGGGAGGCAGCAGUAGGGGAUCUUCGGCAAUGGACGGAAGGCUGACCGAGCAACGCCGCGUGAGUGAAGAAGGUUUUCGGGUCGUAAAGCUAUGUUGUUAGGGAAGCGGUAACUAACGAGAAAGGGACGGCUAACUACGUGCCAGCAGCCGCGGUAAUUC